rnacentral:lncRNA from 1 species
AGCAACUGGGCCCUUUUUUGUUUGAUUUUUCUGUGGCAUUUCUUUAUUAUCAGUGGGUUUUCUCUAACAAAUUUCAAAGUAAUGCCCUGUGCAUUUGCAAUAGCUACAAAAAUCUGGCAGAUUUUCAUAUUCCACAUCAACAAAAAAGGCAUACCCUUUUCUUUCUACAAGAAUCCUAUGGCACAAUUCUUCAUUCAGAUUCAAAUCAAUCAAAACCCUAGCAUAGUGGCCAAAAG